GACGAACGCUGGCGGCGUGCUUAACACAUGCAAGUCGAGCGGUAAGGCCCUUUCGGGGGUACACGAGCGGCGAACGGGUGAGUAACACGUGGGUGACCUGCCCUCAGCUCUGGGAUAAGCCUGGGAAACUGGGUCUAAUACUGGAUAUGACUCCACGGUGCAUGUCGUGGGGUGGAAAGCCUUGUGCGGCUGAGGAUGGGCCCGCGGCCUAUCAGCUUGUGGUGGGGAUGCCUACCAAGGCGACGACGGGUAGCCGGCCUGAGAGGGCGACCGGCCACACUGGGACUGAGACACGGCCCAGACUCCUACGGGAGGCAGCAGUGGGGAAUCUUGCGCAAUGGGCGAAAGCCUGACGCAGCGACGCCGCGUGAGGGAUGACGGCCUGGUGUAACU
rnacentral:rRNA from 1 species